AUGGCAAAAUUCUGGUGGGGGAGUUCUAUUGACAGGAGGUCUCUCCAUUGGAUUGCAUGGGACAAACUUGCUACACCAAAAUGUAACGGCGGAAUGGGCUUUCGAGAUCUUCGGACCUUUAACUUGGCACUGCUAGGGAAGCAUGGUUGGCGCUUCAUGAUGAACCCUAAUUCCCUAUGUGCCAGGGUUAUGAAAGGAAGAUACUUUCCUGACUCAGACUUCAUGCACGCCUCGGUACCGAACUCCUCCUCGGCGACGUGGAGAGCAAUUGUGGCAGGUCGUGAAGCUUUGCAGGCGGGGCCGGUGAAGCGGGUCAGCGAUGGAUCUUCCAUCUCAAUUUGGGAGGACAAGUGGAUCCCUUCUACGGUCACAAUGUCCCCAUUGUUAUGUCCAGCAAGUGCGACAGUACACACGGUCAAUGAACUGAUUAACACAGACAGUUGGACAUGUCGCAGGGAGCUUGUCAGAGAGAACUUCACUGCCCCGGAUGUGGAAGCAAUCCUGAAUAUUCCGCUGCGGCGGGGAGGUGGUGAAGAUUUCCUUGCAUGGGCACAUGAGAAGUCAGGCACUUACUCUGUUAAAUCG
rnacentral:rRNA from 1 species